CGCGGAGUAGAGAAGUGGCAGCUCGUCAGGCUCAUAACCUGAAGGUCGUUGGUUCGAAUCCUUCCUCCGCUA
rnacentral:tRNA from 1 species